GAAAUGUUCCGAGCUCAGCUUAAGUUGCAUGUUUUCCUUCCUGUGUAAUUGCAUGCAGGACUCUGUUCUGUUGCUUUGUGCUCACGUUGAGGAUUCUGACGGGUGCCUUCAAUUUGCAGGAGCGCAGAGCGGCUGGCGGCGGAGCGAGGGCUGGAGGCAGGAAGGGGCAGCGCGCACUGGGCACAACUUUUAUGUCAAGUGGAAAAGAUUUGAUAGAGAUCAUCUAUUAUGAUGCAGUUUUUUACCAGUAGGAGUGGAUCUUGUGGCACUGCCUUUGGAGCUGUACAGCUUGCUUUGCAUCACAUUUAUUGCAUGUUUAUGUGAAAAUGUUGAAUGUUAUGGGGGAAUGUAAAUCUUAAUAUAUUGAAAAUAACUGCAUAUGCUAAAAAUAUUUCAAAAACAUGUUCUGCACCAGAUAGCUUCCUCCCUCUCAAAGCAGCACUACGUGCAGAUUGUAGCCUGGAGUCUGCAGGAGCUAAAUGGAGAUCCCAAAAUAGCCUUCAGCAUCGGAUGUGUCUCUGAGAUGCUCUAAUGAGCCACGCUCCGGGGUGAUGCAGGGCUCACAGAGAUAUGUGAGGGUGGAGAUCCCUCGGAGUGCUGAAGGCUGAGUCACCCAAUAACCAUCCCUUUUGUGCUGACAGCCACCGGAGGUGGUACUUAUUCUGCUGGCUGUUAGCAAACAAGUGCAGGUGACGUUUCACCUCCGGACUUGCCCAUAGAACUAAUCCACAUCUCAUUAUUUGUGGGAUGGUGGUAAAAGAUAAAAGCCCCCA
ensembl:lncRNA